GCCACAUGACCGGGGUGCCGGCGCCGCCAGUGAGCGCCGGCUGAGAGAGUCCCGCAGAACCUGAUCCGGUUCGUACCGGCGUAGGGAGUCCACAGAUGAAGUUU
rnacentral:ncRNA from 2 species